rnacentral:rRNA from 1 species
UAGUUGGUGGGGUAAUGGCCUACCAAGGCGACGAUCAGUAGCGGGUCUGAGAGGAUGAUCCGCCACACUGGAACUGAGACACGGUCCAGACUCCUACGGGAGGCAGCAGUGGGGAAUUUUGGACAAUGGGCGAAAGCCUGAUCCAGCCAUUCCGCGUGAGUGAAGAAGGCCUUCGGGUUGUAAAGCUCUUUCAGCUGGAACGAAACGGUACGCUCUAACAUAGCGUGCUAAUGACGGUACCAGCAGAAGAAGCACCGGCUAACUACGUGCCAGCAGCCGCGGUAAUACGUAGGGUGCGAGCGUUAAUCGGAAUUACUGGGCGUAAAGCGUGCGCAGGCGGAUUGUUAAGCAAGAUGUGAAAUCUCCGGGCUUAACCUGGGAAUGGCAUUUUGAACUGGCAGUCUAGAGUGCGUCAGAGGGGGGUGGAAUUCCACGUGUAGCAGUGAAAUGCGUAGAUAUGUGGAGGAACACCAAUGGCGAAGGCAGCCCCCUGGGAUGACACUGACGCUCAUGUACGAAAGCGUGGGUAGCAAACAGGAUUAGAUACCCUGGUAGUCCACGCCCUAAACGAUGUCAACUGGUUGUUGGGGGAGUGAAAUCCCUUAGUAACGAAGCUAACGCGUGAAGUUGACCGCCUGGGGAGUACGGUCGCAAGAUUAAAACUCAAAGGAAUUGACGGGGACCCGCACAAGCGGUGGAUGAUGUGGAUUAAUUCGAUGCAACGCGAAAAACCUUACCUACCCUUGACAUGUCCAGAAUCCUGCAGAGAUGCGGGAGUGCCCGAAAGGGAAUUGGAACACAGGUGCUGCAUGGCUGUCGUCAGCUCGUGUCGUGAGAUGUUGGGUUAAGUCCCGCAACGAGCGCAACCCUUAUCAUUAGUUGCUACGCAAGGGCACUCUAAUGAGACUGCCGG